GACAACAUGGCGGAGUGGUCUAACGCGAUAGACUUGAAAUCUAUUCUCCUCGGAGGCGCAGGUUCAAAUCCUGCUGUUGUCG
rnacentral:tRNA from 1 species